ACCCUAAUUCCAUGCUAAAUCGUGAAUCCGUUUUUUCCCAAUUUCGUGAACCGAUUCGUGAAUCCCUAAUCCGUGAAUCCAUUGAAGAAUCCCUAAUUCAAAAUCCCUCGUUAAAGGGUUUCUGAAUCAUCAAAGGUUUUCCAGAACUAUCGGCUUUGUGGAUGCUGGAAUCAACUUUUCUUUGCAAGUUUUCAAGAAUGCUCAUCUUACUUAGUGGAGGCAGUAAGCAGUUGUUGAAUGCAAGUUAAUUUGGAACCGAAGCACUAUAUCAUCCGGGAUUUUGCAAAGACAACUCUUUCUCAAGAUGACUAAAAGAGGUGGAAAAGCUAAGGUAUUAGCACCAGGAAAACUUCAAGAAGAACGAAAUCGCAUAAUUAACAAGAAGCAUAUCGUUAGGAAACCUGCUCAAACAACAUUGUCUAUGCAGGAUGCAUCAUCGGCACCAACACCAGCUCAGGCAGCACCGUC